rnacentral:rRNA from 1 species
AACGAACGCUGGCGGCAUGCCUAACACAUGCAAGUCGAACGAGACCUUCGGGUCUAGUGGCGCACGGGUGCGUAACGCGUGGGAACCUGCCCUUAGGUUCGGAAUAACUCCCCGAAAGGGGUUCUAAUACCGGAUAAUGUCUUCGGACCAAAGAUUUAUCGCCUUUGGAUGGGCCCGCGUUGGAUUAGCUAGUUGGUAGGGUAAAAGCCUACCAAGGCGACGAUCCAUAGCUGGUCUGAGAGGAUGAUCAGCCACACUGGGACUGAGACACGGCCCAGACUCCUACGGGAGGCAGCAGAGGGGAAUAUUGGACAAUGGGCGAAAGCCUGAUCCAGCAAUGCCGCGUGAGUGAUGAAGGCCUUAGGGUUGUAAAGCUCUUUUACCCGGGAUGAUAAUGACAGUACCGGGAGAAUAAGCUCCGGCUAACUCCGUG